GUUUUGGCAAGCAGCUUCUUGGAUGUUAAUUUGCUGCUUUUGAAAAAAAAAGAAGUAAAACUUUCAAUGUACCCCCGUAAUGUCUGCGUCAAAAAAGCUGUAUCGGGAUUUGAAAUCCCCUAUUGAAAACACAAGGACUCAACAUUCGUUUAAAGCAUCGUGAUUUAGUCUCAGUUUUUUUGGCUCGAGAAUAGGAAGGAAUCAAAUCUCACUCUUCAGUUUCUGCAGCUGCAAUCCUGUGCAUACUUAUUUAGAAACAGUCCCAUCCACGCUGUGGAAUUUACUUCUGUGUAAGCAUGCCUAAGAUUACACUGCAAAACUUUGUUUUCCAGAGUAACAGCUAUUUUCAACCAACAGCUUUUCCCCAUUUAUAUAACUAUGGUGAAGCCCUUAGUCGUGUUAAUAUUAGCAGGAAUAGUUUGGUGUCUGUGGUAGAAAAUAGUAGUAGUUUAGUGGUGUUGCCUUAAUCAUUGUCAACAUCCAGUGGCAGAAUUUGGGCUCUCAAAAUUUCAGCGGCUCCCUGUAUAUCGCUAAAAAUUUUGCCCUCCCCCUGCCUCUCACGCUCCAUUCUACAGCAUUGUUGUGGUGCUGCCUGCAAUGGGUACCCAGUGUGGCCGCACUAAUCGCGCUACCCAAAAACUACUUCUGCAGCUUCUAAAGAGACAUUGGGAUCCUUUCCAUGUAGAAGGCAUGAGAAAGCCCAGCUAAAGCAGAUUCUUAAGUUUGUCUUCAUCCACAUGCCUUUCUCUUCUGAAGCAUUUAUUACUUUUAUAAUAAUAAUAAUAAUAAUUUAUUAUUUAUACCCCGCCCAUCUGGCUGGGCUUCCCCGGCCACUCUGGGCGGCUUCCAAAAGAAUAUUAAAAUACUAUAAUACAUCAAACAUUAAAAGCUUCCCGACCCCACACUCCUUUACAUUAACUUCAGUCAAUGACAGAAGAGCACCUUUCCUGAAGUGGGAGGAGAGUCUCUUCAGAGCUUGUGGGACAUAGACCUUCUUUCCCCAACAGCAGGCCUGGGUUGACGGUGUACUGGCAAAAACGGUUCUAGUAAACAAAACUUAUUGGCAGCCCACGUUUGCUUGGGGUUGCUAGAUGUUACUGUGUUACACUCCUGAGUUUUUGUGCACCUUAAUCUGGUUUCGGAAACCAGAUUUUCACUUCGACUCAAAUUAUAUUUUUUGUCUGUGUUUUUAUACUGAAACAGAGUGUGUGAUCAUUUUUCAGUUCAGGUGAACUUCAAAACAUGAAAUGUUGUUUGCUGCACCUAGUAAGUUUUAUAAUAUUAUGCUUAUACUCCUAUGCAUGUUCGUUCAUAAGUAAAUCCCACUGUGUUCAAUGGGGCAUACACUCAGGAAAAUAUGCAUAGAAUUGCAGUCUUAGAGUUGUAUAGAUGGGAUCGCAGCUGGAUGGUAGUUGAAUGAAAAUGAUAUAGCUGAGACUGGAAACACUUAUUCUGCCCUUUUAUUCUAAUCAAAUAUGUUUUAUGCAGUAACAUAUUUCCAAAGGGGUAUUGCUGCAAGACUCAGUUCCUUUUACCUGUUGAGGAUUAAGUUGAGGAAUAGUGCUUUUAAUCCAUGUUGGGAACCAGGCCUGACCUUUACAAAUGCUAAUGAGCAUUCUCCUUGCAUAGCCUGUCACAUUCAUUUAUAUUCAUUUUGCUUUCAUUGCUUUUUCCAAUAGAGCUUUCAAGAAUGUCUUGCUUCACCGAAGGUUUCCCAAGAACUGUUUGCAUGUUUCCUGUUAAAUGCAAACGGUAAUAACUGGAAUUUUCUUAGAUAAGUAUCUUUCUCUUUAAUAACACUGUGUCAAAAGUGUUCUUCUCCAGACCUUCCUUUUUUUUCUAGAUGUCUGUUGAGCUUUAUUCCAAGAGAUUAAAGUUAUAAAUUGUGCUACAAACAUAGGCUUCCUCAAAAGUUUGACCGGUAGACGAGCCCAAGUUUGCGGGGAAGCUCAAGAAGGUGGGGUGAGGUUUUGAUUUCAUACUAAGGCCCAGCACAACAGUAAGGUGUGCUGGAACCUUGCCAUUCCCCAGCUCACAGGAAAGGAGAGGGAUGUGUGCUCAUCAGGGAUAUUCAAUAAGCACCAAGAAGUCUUAAUACUUCCAGAGGCCCAGUUUUCACCUAACACUCAAGCCAAACUGGGUGCUAUUGUCCUGUUACUGCACUGGUGUACAAACCCCCUUUUAGCUUGGGACCAAUACAUACAUACCUCAGAGAUAUUGUGGGUUUGGUUCCAAACCACCACAAUAAAGCAAAUACAGUAUCACAAUAAAGCAAGACACACAGUCUUUUAGGUUUCCCAGUGUAUAUAAAAGUUAAGUUUAUACUAUACUGUAGUCUAUGAAGCCAGGCCCCCUGAUUGCAGUCUAAGAGUGUGGUCCUACUUCUACCCAGAUGUUAAUGCCUGUGUGGGUUAGGAUGUGAGUAAAGGCCCCUUUGCUAGCAGAGGAACACUGCUGGGGAAAGGGACUCCAGAACAGCAGAGGUCCCAGCUGUGCUCUAGCAGACAGAUAGCUUGCCAGCAGUAAGCCCUGAAACAGAGCAGGGCACCAUAGCUUGGCACAAACUCUCCUUAAUCUCAGCUAUGCUUUGUUUGAAACUAGCCAACCUCAUGCCAUGGGUUAUGAAACUGGCUUGUUUCAACAACUGUAUUUAAAAUUAGUUACAGUUUAGGAUUUGGACAUCAUUGAGCUCUGGUAAAUAAAAAACAAAAGCACCAGCUCCUAGUCUUCUCCGCUUAGGCUCCCCAAGGCUCACUCCCAUUGUGAUAAGCCAUGGUUUAUCACAAUCAUGCGGGACUACAGUUCUCACCCUCCCUGAGCACUGGCCAUGGUAGCUGAAGCUGAUGGGGGCUGGAGUCCAUGAACAUCUGAAGGGCCAAAGGUUCACUGUCUCUGGUUUAUCAUAUGUAAAAAUGCAUUAGAUGAAUAUGUAUGCUGUGUUUACAAUACUUGGAAUGUGCUGUAAUGGUAUCCCUUCAAAACAUGAGGCCUUCCCCCUCACUUGGGAAUCACUGUGCUAGUUAAUUGAAAUCAGCACAACAAAAAAUCCCUUAGGGAGUUUUAAUGUUGUCCUGGUGGCCAGAAGCCCCACCUAGUUUAGUUCUAUUUAUAUCUUAAGUAGCGUCUGUUGACUGCAUUUGGCAUGAAGAGACUGGAUUCUUCCUUAUUUCUGAAAUCUAUCGUUCACAUAAGAUCAAGGAUUUAACUAUGGAAAAGGAAAGCCAGAGAUUAUUUACAAGUAAAAUUAAAACUAACAUUGAACUCUUUGGUAAGGAAAGCAAAUGCUUCAGAAUAACAAACAGCUGUCUCUAUUCCUCAUCCCCAGCUGUUGGUUUCAUACAACUCUGCAAUAACAACAUCAGAAGUUUUUCAUUCUUUUCCCAUAUGGUACUGUCUCAAAGGAUGUAUCUUACAGCUCACAGGGGAAGCUGCACAGCUCUAAACCCCUCAGAAACUAUGAACAGAGAAAUGCUUGUGCUAUUUUCUCUUUGACACGUUGCCAGUUGACAAAAAAUGAAUCCCGUUCAGAUACUAUGCAAGUGUGAAAAAAUGUAUUGUCUAUUGCUGUGGAGACAUUUUUGAUGCCAAGUUGUGACAGCAGAAAAUCGUAUGGCAAAAUGUUUUUAUUCUUGCUCAGCUGUGCUUAACAUUUAGCUGGAAUUUCAGAGUUCCCAUCCUCAAUGCACAUUCUUCUACUGAAGAAAUUGUUCCAGAAUAAGGGGGGGGGGUUAACUAUUUUAAAUACAGGUUUGUUAAAAUAAACUCAUUUUCAG